GUGCUCACUUUGGCAGCACAUAUACUAAAGUUGGAACAAUACAGAAAAGAUUAGCAUGGACCCUGCUCAAGGAUGACAUGCAAUUUAAUGAAGCAUUCCAUAUAAAA
ensembl:snRNA U6 U6 spliceosomal RNA